GCUGUUGCUCCUGCUUGUUGUGUAAGAGAAUUGUGACCCUUGGCUUUGUGUUGUGCUCCUAAUGGUUUAGUAUAGACUGCAAACUGAUGAUGCCGGAAGUCAAUUAUUGCCCAAUUUUUUUAGAUAUAUACUUAAACUGAUGCAUAUUAAUGAUGUACACAGUUGAAAUGUGAUAACUUUCAGGCUGAGGCACAUGGAAGGCAAGGAACCUUCAUUUCAUUUGUAACAAAAAUGAGCUAGUUAUUGGGAGAGGAUGCUGGUUUGGCUGACUUGUAAUAUAUUUUUCCUUGGUAAUUCGAUCUGAGCUCAUAUAAAGGUUUAGGUUUCUGUCCCAAACUGAUCUGGGGGAGAAAAAAGAAAAUUUCAUUCUGGAAACAAAAAAGUUUGUAUUUCUGUAUUCCCUGGUUCCUGCAGCUUCUCAGUGAAAAUGGCGUUUGACAGCCCUUGUGAUUAUAUAACAGUUCUCAAGAGGAAGCUGCUAACAAGCCCAUCUGAUAUUUUGUGCCAGCUGUUUCAGUGGAGGCGUGUUGGACUAGAGUGAACUCCGCCUUCUUUGACAAGCAAAGGUUUCUUCGCUUCCAUGGCGUGGUUACUUCAGUUGAUGCAGUACAAUCUGGAAAGUGCAUUUACAUGGAAAACCAAAGUAUUACACUUUGACUGCAGUUUUUAAAUAACAGUAGAAAGGACAUUGGCAUUGCCAGUAGAAAGAAACGUGAACUUUGACUGUGAGUGUUGGUCAGGAAAAUGUCAGAGAAAGAGCAUAAGGACAGCGAUCUGCAGUUGGACCAAAGGCUAUUCCAAGACUUUGUAUCCAAUAGCAGUCAGCAGAAUAUCCUUGCGGACAAGUGUAAGUAACAGGGCAAGUAUAGAAUUAUUCCUUCUGCUGGUAUACUUUCCCGGCUUCUGACACUCAGCAGUUUUGGGACUCCCUGUGCCGAAGUUGCAUCUUAACCAUUGUUUUUAUGAACCACUGAGUGCAGAAGCAACAAUAAGAACAAUGGAUCACUGUUCAGCGUCAGUGGCAACUGCGCUUAGAAAUAAGUAACAGUGCCACUUCAAAACGCUUGACGUGGACAACAGAAAGAGAAGAGCCAGGAAAUUAUAGCAGCACUAAAGCCACACCCAUGGCCAGAGGCUACAUCUCGCAGCUCCUCCAAGUUGUGAACUCCUUGAGAGCUGAGAAUCCCUACUAUGCAGAGAGCAAAGCAUUUGAAAAGUGACAGAGCGUGAAGAAAAAGGGAAUUCAAAAUCUGGUGCUGAAUUUUCUCCUGGACCAGUCUGUUCUUCUAUAUCCACGGACAAGUAGGUUGCUGCAGGAGUAGUUUAGAAGCCUCACCAUUAGCCAGUCUCUUUGCACGGUGCAGCGACUCCUGCUAAGAUCCUACCCAUGACCAACUCCUGUGUGAAGAGAUCAAGGAUCCUGAUUUGUUUCUAGGACUCUUAUUAAAAACAAGAAAAACACUGGUGAUUCCUGCCUUCUGCACACAAUUUUACUGCAGUGCAUGUUUUCCUCCACAUGAGGACAAUCUUCUAAGAAUGGUGGUGAAACAUAACCUGUUGUGACUGAUUUCAGAGGGCACAGGAAGAGGUGUGGAACAAACAGUGGAGAAUGCACUGGAUGUGUAGUACAGCGUUGGAUCAGAGAGACUAGACUGUCACAGAAGCUUGUGAAUUUGGAGAAAGCCAGUGUAUGUUCAUGACAGGCCAUGAAGCUAUCCCCAACAGGCAUUUGAGAAAGACAAAUCCCCAGCAUGUUUGCACGUCAAUUAAGCAACAGUAGCACUUCUAUUGAUUUUCUCUAUGAUGAACUGUUAAAAGAAGUGAGGUACCCAGAAAUAAAGUGGAAAAAAAAGAAGCAACUGACCAAUAAUCUACCUAGAAAGUUACUGAAAGCCUUUAAAAAAGCCAAGAAUUCAGAGGAUAAAAGAAAAAAACUUCACACAUUGUAAGAGAACUAUUUUGUCACAGCCUGAACUGGUAAUUGAGCACCUGGUGAAGAUGAGUGGCUGACCAAGGAAGAACAGAUGCAAGCAAUUCACCUGUACUUUCCAUGUGACUGGAAAGGGUGGACCCUGGGUUGACCCCUCCCUGGGCUCAUUUAAGGGCUGGCUUCCAAAAGAAGAAGAAAUCCUGGAUGUAGGCCACUUCCUGAGGUGGAUCAUUCUGUAGCUAGAUGCCCUUAUCAUCAGUCAGGUAAGAACUUAUUCAGUGCAUCAGUGUUCUCCUGUCUUCGUUAUAUCAUGGCCAAUUUAGCUUGAUUCUCUAUUUGUGGAAGACAGCUUUAUCUAUAAGCCAGCAACAGAGGUGCUUAUCAGACUUCUUCAAGCAAAUAAAAAUUAUCUUUGCAGUAUAUUUCUUUUAUGAUGACAAGACCUUCAGCUUACAACAUCUAUUGGCUCUUCUAAUAUCAGAACUGCGCAAGAAGAAAUAUGUUGGAGAUGCAAUGAUUAUUACUUUAGUGAGAACUACUGGUAUGGAGUACAGGAGAGUUCAAAACUGAUAAAAGUAUCUUAAUGCUCUUUUUACACGUGAGAUUCUGCUUCUUAACUUAUAUUCUUGACAAAGAGAUCUCUUUUCUUUCUCAUACACAUUCUGGAUACUUGUAGCUCUGUUGCUGUAUUUUGCAAAAACAGUAGGAAGUGAAGAUAGUAUUAGAUGUCCUUGGAUGCCCUGUGAUUUGCAGUAGCAGGAGAGAUCUUUUAUUUGAUACCAAACAAUAGUUCAGUAUAGAAUUUUCUAAACUCAAUUUGGCUUCUCUCUAUUCCCCAGAACCAACCUGGCAUUUCACAAUAGAGGAAUCAAAUGUUGUUUGGCAGCAUCUGAUGUUGCAGCUCCUUAGAGCCUGAUCUCAGAAUUUGGCUGUUAAGAGUCUCUCUAUUUGUAGUCAGCUGUGUAAAACAACAACAACAACAAAAAAAAAAAAGGGCAUCAGCAGAGCUGUGACCCUUAUACAGUUCAGCGAACUGCGAAGGCAGUAUCGUUAUUACUAGUUUUAAACCAUGAAUAUGUGUUGGUUUUUCUUACAAACAUGAGGUUAAUGAAGACCUGCCACCAGAAGUAUACAGCAUAUCACUUCAGAAGGAAUUUCAUUUUGACCAAAGAACGUGGGCAAAGAACGUUCUAUCUUCCAGUGGCACGUUAGCCAGAGGUGCACUAAGAAGCAAAACCAUCAAUCUCUGAAGGGUACAGACACCCUGUUUAGCAGAUUAAACAUUAUUUAAUCAUUAACGAACUGCAGAAAUUCUUGAAAGUAUUCUAUGUAAUGUGAAUGUAUUACUAAUCUUCUAAACCUUUGAGGCUAUUGGAGUAAAACAUUUUUUAAACAACUAUGUGAUCUGGACAGUCUCGCCUGCUUUUAAUACACAACAUUUAUCACUUGAGUCAGUAUCAUAAGUGGAUUGAGUGUUACUUAAGUGAUAUUUGAACAGCAGAUAAGCCUUAAGUGAACUGUGGGUUUCUGCUCACAUGGUAGUCAUGCCCCACGGAUGGUUAUGUGGGGAAAGCAGAGAAUGGUUCUAACCUGGUCCUAUAUUCUUGUACCCUUAGAAAAGUAGUUACGUUGCUUCUGCUUUCUGUCCUAUGUAUAAUGUGUAGAGAUUACUGUAACUUUUGUAGACCUCACAUUGCAUCAUUGAUGUUCAGAAUGGAAAUUUAGCAAGAGUUGUGCUUCCCUAAUUGUGUUUGGCAUACCUUCUCUCAGUUGUAAAACAUUGCCUGUUGAGACCUGAUGGGAUUAUGAUCUCUUUCAAAUAAAUUCUUGUCGUCUUCUACCAAUUAUUGACACUUGUUCUAUGGGUUUCUUAUCAAUAACUUAUUUUGACCUAUAUGUUUCCAAACAGCAUUUCAUUAGCACCUGGUCUUGUUACUGCAUUAAUAGGGCUGGCAAUUAAAUGCAUCUUGCUCUGCCAUUUAGCUUGAUUUGAAAUGAUUGCUGACUUAAUAAUAUAACAGUAAAUAUGAAAGCUGAGUUUCUAACUCUUUCUGUAAUAAAUAUUCCUGCAUCUGCUCACUCAUUCUAUGGAUUGCUUUCCCUUUAGUAGCAGUCUUUACCAACAGUCUCAAGAACAGCAAGAGCUGUUGGUUGUGUGUUUUUUCUGGCCUACCAGUGUUACAUGAAGAUACA